rnacentral:rRNA from 1 species
GAUGAACGCUGGCGGCGUGCCUAAUACAUGCAAGUCGAGCGAACAGACGAGGAGCUUGCUCCUCUGACGUUAGCGGCGGACGGGUGAGUAACACGUGGAUAACCUACCUAUAAGACUGGGAUAACUUCGGGAAACCGGAGCUAAUACCGGAUAAUAUAUUGAACCGCAUGGUUCAAUAGUGAAAGACGGUUUUGCUGUCACUUAUAGAUGGAUCCGCGCCGCAUUAGCUAGUUGGUAAGGUAACGGCUUACCAAGGCAACGAUGCGUAGCCGACCUGAGAGGGGGAACGCCGAAAUAGGAAUGGACACAAGGUCCAGAAUCCUAGGGGAGCAAGAAUGAGGGAAUGUGAGGCAAUGGCGGAAGGCCUAACGGGGCAACGCGGAGUGAGGAAUAAGGGUUUGGGGAGGUGAAAACUCGGUGAAUAGGAAAGAAGAAAAGGGGAAGGAACAAUGCACGUCUUGAGGGUAUGUAAUCAGAAAGAGACGGAUAACUACGUG